UACAGAGGUCUCAAGCGUUGUUCGGAUUCAUUGGGCGUAAAGGGUGCGUAGGUGGCGCUGUAAGUCGGAUGUGAAAUUUCGGAGCUUAACUCCGAAACUGCAUUCGAUACUGCGGUGCUUGAGGACUGGAGAGGAGACUGGAAUUCAUGGUGUAGCAGUGAAAUGCGUAGAGAUCAUGAGGAAGACCAGUGGCGAAGGCGGGUCUCUGGACAGUUCCUGACACUGAGGCACGAAGGCCAGGGGAGCAAACGGG
rnacentral:rRNA from 1 species